rnacentral:lncRNA from 1 species
CUUGGCUUGCUUUGAAUGAAGGUCAUGUAGCAAUGGAGGAAUGAGAUUGAAGUCGAGCGACGAAAGGAAGUGCCACGAAGAUGGCGAUCCGACUCAUUCAGUUUCUUCUUUGAUACAUUGAUUUGCAUCAAGCAAGUCUCUGUGAUGACCAAAGAAGAGGGAUUACCAAAUCCACGUUAGGAAAGCGGAGAAGCUCAUCAAGUCAGAGUGGGGCAUAUCAAGGUAGCUACAGUCGUGGAUGCGGUCUCGUUGCUGAGGUAGGUCGAUUGACACGUUUCCACGCAUGGAGCUCCUAUCGU